rnacentral:rRNA from 1 species
ACUUUAUACUGUAAAACUGCGAACGGCUCAUUACAUCAGCAAUAAUUUAUUUGAUGAUUUCUUACUACAUGGAUAACUGUAGUAAUUCUAGAGCUAAUACAUGCGCAAAGUCCUGACUCGCGAGGGGAGGGAUGUAUUUAUUAGAUACAAAACCAAUGCGGGUUCUGCUCGCCAUUGUGUUGAAUCAUAGUAACUUAUCGAACGCCAUAGCCUUGUGCUGGGCGUAGAUCAUUCAAAUUUCUGCCCUAUCA